GCUUUGUGAUYKGCUCUCAAAGAGUCGAGUUGUUUGGGAAUGCAGCUCUAAAUGGGUGGUAAAUUCCAUCUAAAGCUAAAUAUUGGCGAGAGACCGAUAGCGAACAAGUACCGUGAGGGAAAGAUGAAAAGAACUUUGGAAAGAGAGUUAAACAGUACGUGAAAUUGUUGAAAGGGAAACGCUUGAAGUCAGUCMCAUUGGCUAGGGAUCAACCUUGCUUUUUUGCUUGGUGUACUUCUUGGUUAAUGGGUCAGCAUCAAUUUUGACCAAUGGAAAAAGAUUAAGGGAAUGUGGCAUCUUUUGGAUGUGUUAUAGCCUUYGGUCWCAUACAUUGGUUAGGAUUGAGGAACUCAGCAYGCCGCAAGGCCGGGUUUUUUAACCACGUUCGUGCUUAGGAUGCUGGCA
rnacentral:rRNA from 1 species